ACGGGCAGUUGUCAGCAGCCAGAAAAUGGAGAAAAUUGUCAAGGGAGCUGUAAGGAGCCAGGUUCUCCCGCUUUGCAUAAGGUAGUCCCAAAGGUGGCCCAGGAUGCCAGGCAAGCUGUAGGCCUUCUGCUUGGUGCCCGGGGACUGCUGCUUUGGGCCUUGUGGAACAGCAACUUUGCUGCCCUUGUACCAGACCCAUAUGGGACACUGGGAAGAGCCAAGCAAGCAGGACCAGUAUGAGGUUUGGCUCUUGGUUUUCUCUGUAGGCUGCUCCUCUGGAAGGACCUGGUUUGUGUUCGUGUCCUUGGUCCUGAUGGGGCAGGAGGUUAAGCCAAACCAGCAGCGCCGGGUGGAGGUCUGGCUCUUGGUCUCCUCCAUGGCCUGCUCCUCAGGAAGGGCCUUGUUCUUGUUCUUCUCCUCAGUCCUGAAAGGGCGGGACGUUAGGCCUAGCCAGCAGCGCCAGGUGGAGGUCUGCCUCUUGGUCUCCUCCAUAGGCUGCUCCUCAGGAAGGGCCUGGUUGUCCUUCCUGUCCUCGAUCGUGGUGGGGAAGGAGGUUAGGCCAAACCAGGAGUGCCAUCUGGAGGUCUGGCUUUUGGUCUGCUCCAUGGCCUGCUCCUCAGGAAGGACCAGGUUGUUCUUUGUGUCCUCGAUCCUGUCAGGGCAGGAGGCUAGGCCAAACCAGCAGCACCAGGUGGAGGUCUGCGUCUUGGUCUCCUCCACAGGCUGCACCUCAGGAAGGACCGGGUUGUUCUUCCUGUCCUCGAUCCUGAUGGGGCAGGAGGUUAGGCCAAACUAGCAGCGCCAAGUGGAGGUCGGGCUGUUGGUCUCCUCCAUAGGCUGCUCCUCAGGAAGGGCCUCGUUGUUCUUCUCCUCAGUCCUGACAGGGCAGGACGUUAGGCCUAGCCAGCAGCGCCAGAUGGAGGUCUGGCUGUUGGUCUCCUCCAUAGGCUGCUCCUCAGGAAGGGCCUGGUUGUCCUUCCUGUCCUCGAUCGUGGUGGGGAAGGAGGUUAGGCCAAACCAGGAGUGCCGUCAGGAGGUCUGGCUUUUGGUCUGCUCCAUAGGCUGCUCCUCAGGAAGGGCCUGGUUGUCCUUCCUGUCCUCGAUCCUGACAGGGCAGGAGGCUAGGCCAAACCAGCAGAACCAUGUGGAGGUCUGCCUCUUGGUCUCCUCCAGAGGCUGCACCUCAGGAAGGACCGGGUUUUUCUUCCUGUCCUCGAUCCUGAUGGGGCAGGACGUUAGGCCAAACUAGCAGCACCAGGUGGAGGUCUAGCUGUUGGUCUCCUCCAUAGGCUGCUCCUCAGGAAGGGCCUCGUUGUUCUUCUCCUCAGUCCUGACAGGGCAGGAGGUUAGGCCUAACCAGCAGCACCAGGUGGAGGUCUGGCUGUUGGUCUCCUCCACAGGUGGCUCCUCUGGAUGGAUCUCGUUGUUGUUGUCCUCGACCCUGAUGGGACAGGAGGUUAGGCCGAACCAGCCCCGCCGGGUGGAGGACUGGCUCUUGGUCGCCACCCGAUGCUGCUCCUCGGGAAGGACCUUUUGGUCACAACUACAGACCCAGCUGAGGUAGCUGGGACAGCCUGGGCCAUGUCCCGCAAAUGGAGACAGGCUCAGAGCCAUGGCCAGGAAGAGAGUCAGGCUGAACUUCAUCCUCUUCUCUCCCAAAGAACAAUCUCUACACACAAAUGGCUGUCACCCAGAGCAGAGCUCCCGCAGUGACCACCAGGACAGAGCGGUUGCUCCAAGUGUCUGAGGUGGGGGAGGCGUCCAGCGUGACUUGACCAAGUCUGAUGUCAUGCCCUGUUCUGUGUUGUCACAAUGCCUUUCCCCCACCUUGGCCAUAGGAUUCCCAGUGUGUCCUGGGAAUUGGAAAUGGACACCCUGGUGGAUUUCUCAGAUUCGUCCUCACCUCUUCUUCCUUGUUGGGUGGCCUGUAGCACACUCCCAUGAUAAUAUCAGUUUUAUUGGCCUUCGCUUUUAUUCUGACCCAUAAGCUCUCCACCCUAUCAUCACCAUCAUUAAUUUCCAUACAUUCACAUUCUUUCUUAACAUAGAGGGUUACACCACCGCCUUUCCUGCCUUGCCUGUCUCUUUUGAAAAGUCGGUACCCAUCCAUCACAGCACUCCAGCUCUGCUAGUCAUUCCAGCACGUUUCCUUGAUGAUGACUGUAUCAUAGGUUUCCGACCACACAAUGGCCUCCAGCUCCUCCUGUUUAUUACCCAUGCUGCAUGCGUUAGUGUAAAGGCACCUGAGCUGGGCCUCCUUUUGAGUGGCAGUAGCCCUAAUACUCUCACGACCAUACUCAGGUGUUUCCACAGCCACCAACCUCACACCAACCCUUGUGUUCUUCGUACAAAAGGGCGAGUCAUCCUCCUUCUUCACCAAGACACAAGACGGUGGGAUCUUACUAGCACAUCCCUCUCCUACAAGCACUGGCACGUUACAUACAUGCUCGAUUCUAGUGACCCCAGUUAUACCCCACCCCUCUUCAUACCUAGUUUAAAGCUCUAUCAGUGAGACCUUCCCAACUCCUGUCUUAAGACCCCUUUCCGCCGGUGAGAGAAGCUACUCCUAUCAGUUGCCAGCCAGUCUGGUCUCAUGCAAACAGAGCAGAGGUCAAAAAACCCAAGCCCCUGCCAGGCACACCAGGCUCGGAGCCAGGUGUUAAUCCGUUGGCCCAUCAUAUUUAGUCCAUCAUCAUUCCCUAUAACUGGAGGGAUAGAGAACACAACUUGUGCUCCCGAACCCUUGGCCUGUCGCCCCAAGGUUCUGAAGUCCUUUUUCAUAGGCUUUAGGGAAUUUCUUCCUUCCUAUAUCAUCGCUGCCAAUCUGAAACAACAACAGGGGAUAGUAAUCUGGGGGCCGAACUAGGCAAGGAAGUUUCUUCCUCAUGUCUUUGGCUCCUGGGAGGCAGCAGCCCUCCCUGUGUAGAGGGUCUGGUCUACAUAUUGGCCCUUCUGUUCCCUUCAGCAGAGUCACCAGUGACAAUGACCCGUCGUUUUUUCUUUGCUGAUGAGGUUUUAAUGCUAAGCGAGGACUGGUUGGACUUUGGUAACACCACCAAGUGGGGAGAACCAUCGUCACAGCCAUUGUCCAGCUGUCCCCGUAGAGCACUGUACUUGCUCUGCAAGGGCAGCUGGGGAGGCAGGGGAAUCUCUGCAUCGCCGAGCAGGGGCCUUUUGCCACUGCCCCACACCCCCCAAUUCUUCACCGUUGUUUCUAGGGGGAGGGGAGGACAGGAGGCUCACUGCAGCAGGAACACUGUCUGCCUGCUGGUUCCCCUCUGUCACCUGUUUGCAAGGCGGCAGGGUGGCACCUACUCCGUGUGGAGCCUCAGCUGGCUGCCAAGAUCUCGGGUCAUACAGAGCUUGGCACCACCAAACAAUCUCCCUCUCCGUCUCCCUCAGGCUUUUUCAAGGCAAGGGGGCGCUAACGCAGAGCCGUUGCCCAGGCAACGCCCAUUCAAUGUCAGCCGCUCUUGCCAGAGCUGCCGGGCUGCUCUGUUAUCCCACGGUUCCAGGGAUGAAGGAACCGAUGAAGGAACCGACUGAAACCCCCCUGUACCUCGCGGUCAGUCCCUGCUAUUCAGUCCAGGAAAGCUCUGGAGCAGCUCACCUCGGCAAUCAAAAUAUGACAUAUAUAAUUAAAUAGAAUAUAUUUAUAUGAUAUUUAAAUUAUAUAUAUAUGUAUAGUAAUAUAUAUAUAAUAAAUAUAUAAUAUAAUGAUAUCUAUAUAUUAUAUACAUAAAUAUAUAAUACAUGCGUAUAUAUUAUAUAAUAUGUGAUAUAAUUAUAUCUACAAUUAUGUGUAAUAGAUAUAAAUGAGAUCUCAAUUUGCUGCAUAGUGCAGAGGAGCUGUUCUGCAGGUAGGAAUGUCCUAACCUCAGCGCUUCAAACUAUUGCAGAAGAAAGGGUUUACGGUUCUGAGGUUGAGCCCCAUGUAGGAUAGUUGGCUGCACUGUGGGAAGAGACUUCUCAUAUGGCUUGUUACAUUGUGGUGCUACACUAUUACCGAUCCAUUACAGAUCACCUUCAGCAAAUAGGUUUAGGUUAGAUACUGUUGUAGUAGGCAUCUUGCGGGGGUACGGGAUGUACGGGACAGGCCUCUCCCUAAGCAUAGAGAGACAGUGCUACCGUGCUGACCUUGAUGCAGAGAAAACAGGAGAAGAAGAAAGAUGAGAAAAGAAUGUGGAAAUGGCCAAAUAAGGCACAAUGUUAUCUGGUGUGAACCAAUCAGGGUGGGACAUGACAGCGCGGUUAUGUAGGUAAAAAUGUAUAGAAGCUGUAUUUGGUAGUGAAUAAACGCCAUUUUGCUGCUCAUCAUAUUGGUGUGCGUCUGCAGUCAUUUGGCCCUGAUCAGGCUAUUGGUCAGUGAGCGCAGAGGCCUAACACAGGUGGCUAACAUCGUUGUUGCAGAAAGCAACAAAUGGUGCCCCGUGUGAGGCACAGACUGUGUUGUGAUGCCCUCUGCGUGGCUACGAGCUGUGGGGUGACGCCGUAGCACGAGAUUUGGGGUGACGCCCAGCCCGCGUGCCCUGAAGAGAGGGGGAGCCUGCAGACUGGGGUGACGCCCUGCAGAAGAUGGUGGCGACGACGAUAGUGCCGGCUGGCAAGUAGAACCUGUGUUGCGGUGGGGUCUGGGGGGACGACAGGGCGCUCACGGAGGACCCGUGUGGACGGCGGCGUCGAGUGUGACUUGGUGGUGACAGCGACGGGCUGACCAUGGACCAUGUUCUUAAGGUAUUGCUUCAGUUUUGUAAGGAUUACUUUGGCGAGUAUGCUCCUUCUAAGAAGGGUAUCCACGCACUUAUUUCCCGGUUAGAGCGGGAGGGGGAGGUUAAAGCCCCCCACGAGAUCCUUGAUCACCGGAGGUGGGAUGAUCUCACCUCUGAGUUCGCGUAACAUAUUAUGAGUGCUCAGGAGGGCGGGUCGGAGUUAAAAACUUGGGGUCUGAUACUAAGGGGGGGCGUAGAAAGCGGCCAGAGUGGAGGGAAAGGUACUGGCAGAGGCUCGAUACCUUUUGGAUCUCGGCGGUGGAGGCGAGACACCGGACCCAGUGGUGUCCGAUGGGGGCUCCGGAGCAGUUUCUUGAAGGGGCCGAGAGGAGACGGAGCCGCCAAUGACCGUUGGCGAGAUGGCGGCGGGUGAGCCGACCGCGCUCAGUUCAAAAGAAGACAACCAACAGGAGAGUGGAUGUUCGUUAUCUCGUCCCCCUCCCCCGUAUCCGGACCCCUCAGGCGGAACGUUGUAUCCUUUAUCAGA
ensembl:lncRNA